GACAGGGGGACACUGAGAGACAUGGGGACACUGGGAGACAUGGGGACACUGACUGGGAUACAUGGGAACACUGUGUCCCGAUGUCUCCUAGUGUCUCCCAGUGUCCCCAAGUCUCAGUGUCCCUAUGUCU